UAUCUUCGGGGCAGAGUGAAAUUCCUGACCGGCGGUGAGAGCCCGCGAGUCGCUUGAAGCGACAGAUCCGGCGAAAUCCCGGAGCCGACGGUGACAGUCCGGAUGAGAGAAGAU
rnacentral:ncRNA from 1 species